GUUGUUCUUUUCCUUUGAUAGGAUGGAUAGCACACAAGCUACAUGCAUUUGUAAGUGGAGGGUUAAAAAAGGGGGGCAAAAGGGGGUCCCAGGGAGAUUUUUUUCUGUAUAUAAACGGAACAUAAUUGUUAAAAUUGCCGUUUUACAAUAUAAAUCAAUUGCUUUUAAAAAGCAAUUGUAAACGGUCUUUCCCCCCUUUGAAACAUUAUUGUUUGAUAUGUGUGUGUGUGUGUGUGUGUGUGUGUGUGUUUGUUUGUUUGUUUGUUUGUUUGUUUGUUUU
rnacentral:lncRNA from 1 species